rnacentral:misc_RNA from 1 species
ACAUCUCAACUCCUCACGGUUUGCCCGUGAUGAGCUUGGACAUUGGGGGUCUUGCUGGCCUGCGGGUCGGCUCCUCUCAAAUGAAUCAGCUUGCCAGUGUUUGGUGGCGUCACAGGUGUGAUAACUAUCUACGCUUGUGGUUUUCCGCCAGGUAACCUCCAGCAAUGGGGGUUCACUGGAGCUCACAAAUGUCUCUCCUCGGCGAGGACAGCUCUUUGAAC